rnacentral:rRNA from 1 species
UGCCUUAGUAACGGCGAGUGAAGCGGCAACAGCUCAAAUUUGAAAUCUGGCCCCCUUGAGGCCCGAGUUGUAAUUUGUAGAGGGUGCUUUGGCAUUGGCCUCGGCCUAAGUUCCUUGGAACAGGAUGUCACAGAGGGUGAGAAUCCCGUAUGUGGCCGGUGGCCUUCGCCUUGUAAAGUCCCUUCGACGAGUCGAGUUGUUUGGGAAUGCAGCUCUAAAUGGGAGGUAAAUUUCUUCUAAAGCUAAAUAUUGGCCAGAGACCGAUAGCGCACAAGUAGAGUGAUCGAAAGAUGAAAAGCACUUUGGAAAGAGAGUGAGAUAGCACGUGAAAUUGUUGAAAGGGAAGCGCUUGCGGCCAGACAUGCCCGCCGUUGCCCCGCCUGGCUCAUGCAAGGUGGACUCUCCGGCGGGCAGGCCAGCAUCAGUCUGGGCGGCCGGACAAAGGCCCCGGGAAUGUGGCUCCCCUCGGGGAGUGUUAUAGCCCGGGGUGCAAUGCGACCAGCCAGGACUGAGGCCCGCGCAUCUGCUAGGAUGCUGGCGUAAUGGCUGCAAGCGGCCCGUCUUGAAACACGGACCAAGGAGUCUAACAUCUAUGCGAGUGUUUGGGUGUGAAGCCCUGACGCGCAAUGAAAGUGAAUGCAGGUGGGAACCCCCCCCCCUGGGGGUGCACCAUCGACCGAUCCUGAUGUUUUCGGAUGGAUUUGAGUAAGAGCAUAGCUGUUGGGACCCGAAAGAUGGUGAACUAUGCCUGAAUAGGGUGAAGCCAGAGGAAACUCUGGUGGAGGCUCGCAGCGGUUCUGACGUGCAAAUCGAUCGUCGAAUUUGGGCAUAGGGGCGAAAGACUAAUCG